GCAAAGGGCUGUCCAAGGGCAGCUCUGGGAACCUCUCUGGGAAGUGCCUUGUCCCAAGGGAACUGGUCUCCUCUCCGUGCACCCCCAGCUCUGUGGGUGCCCAUCCCCAGCAGUGCUGACCACCAGUCAGGGCAGCAGGGCUCAUCCCACAGCACCCACUGCAGCUCUCUGCAGCCUCCUUUUCAGAGGGGUCCCUGACCCAGCUGCAACCCUACCCCAGGCACAUGAGGAGGAGGAUGAUCUGGGGCCACACCCAGGGAUAAGAGGUGGGAGGGGGGGGGGGAAGGCCUCCAUGUCUCCUCUCUGCAGACAGACCAGACUGACAGCAGUGCCACCGAGUGUUAUCAUCAGAGCUGGUUGCAUGAAGGCUCUGCUCUGUCCCUGACACCAGCAGCAUGUCAGCCCUGUGUCCCCACACACCCUCCCAUCCUCUGCUCUGCAGAACAUCUCUUCUCAUUGCCACCACCUUCCCUCUCCUUUCAGAUGUCCCUGUCCUGCCCGAAGGUUACCCAGCAGAUGGCUAUGAUGAUGCUGGGGAGGUUUCUGACCCUGGGGAGGAUCCUGUCCCUGGGCAGGGGGACUGGGAAGUGCCCAGGACACCAGAGGAAGGAGAUGGGCUGAGGCAUGCAGCCACAGGGGGAAGCCUGCACUCCCGGAGAAGUGCUGAGGUCCCUCGAGCUGAUGGACACACCUCGUCACCUUUCCUGGGGACCACAGGCUAUGACGAUGUUGAAGAGGUGUCUCUGGCAUGUCCCCAUGAGGACACCCAGGAUGUGACACCAGAGCCCCGUGCACAAGAGUUCCAGAGCCCCAGGCCAGCAGACACCAGCCCUGCUGAGCAGCUGGGUGCAGCUGGGAGGGAGGAGAGCUCAGUGCCAUUGGGAGAACCGUGAGUGCCAGGGAAUGGUGUCCCUUUUCCAGCAGUCAGCAGGCACACAUGGGUAUUUCCCCUCUUGGUAUUCCCCUGUUUUUAUGCUGUGUGUUGGUAUUUCCUCAUAUUAAAACCCUCUGGGGGCUUUGCCCCAGAUCCAGUCGUCCCUGACCAUGUUUCUGGGCGUCUCCCUGAGGCUGAUGGAGGGGAGAAGAGCUCAAAGAUCCAGCGGUUUGGAAGGAGCUCAUCUUAGAACCAGCAGGAUCGGGGUCUGGCUUUGG
rnacentral:lncRNA from 1 species